rnacentral:lncRNA from 1 species
CUCAGGUUUUGACCUGCCAUUUGAGUUCUGUUAUACUCACAGACACCAUUCAAACAGUUUUAGAAACCUUAGGGUGUUUUCUAUCCAUAUGUAAUAAGUAUAUGCAUAUUCUAGUUACUGGGUAGGAGUGGUAACCAGAUUAAAUCGGGUAUGUUUUUUAUCCAGCCGUGUCAAUACUGCCUUCUAGCCCUAACAGGUUAAGGACAACAAAGUCAAGGUGUCACAAAGCCCUGACCUCAAUCCCAUAGAAAAUUUGUGGGCAGAACUGAAAAAGCGUGUGCGAGCACGGAGGCCUACAAACCUGACUCAGUUACACCAGCUCUGUCAGGAGGAAUCGGCCAAAAUUCACCCAACUUAUUGUGGGAAGCUUGUGGAAGGCUACCCGAAACGUUUGACCCAAGUUAAACAAUUUUAAGACAGUGCUACCAAAUACUAAUAUAGUAUUCUUAUUUACAAUGACAGCCUACACCAGCCAAACCCGGACGACGCUGUGCCAAGUAUUUAUUAACUCUAUCUCUAACUUCUGAACAACUGGGAAUGUGAUGAAAGAAAUAAAAGCUGAAAUAAAUCAUUCUCUCUACUAUUAUUCUGACAUUUCACAUUCUUACAAUAAAGUGGUGAUCCUAACUGACCCAAGACAGGGAACUUUUACUAGGAAUAAAUGUCAGGUAUUGUGAAUAACUGAGUUUAAAUGUAUUUGGCUAAGGUGUAUGCAAACUUCCGACUUCAACUGUAUAUAUAUGUGUGUGUAUAUAUAUACAUGUAUAAAACUUUAGAGAGCUUAAGCAUCGAAUACAUUGCAAGUUGGGUGGAGUUUCACACCUAAAGUAGCCGGGCUAUUAAACCAAAUAGUUGGAUAUCACAGAUCGGCCCUCAGAACUCAUCAAUAUGCUUUAAAUGCCACAAUAUCACAAGUAAUUGAACACACACAACAUGAGCAGAUUAACUUGGUCAAAACAGUCAAAACAUUUAUUUAUUAAACACCUGCUGCGCUCUGCGCUUGAAACCAGCUCUCUGUUUCUCUCGUGUUCAUUACGGUGUGGUGUCCAGGAGUUCCCUUUUCCCGGUGCAGAAUACACAAGGUUUCUCCCUCCCCAGAUACAAUACAAUUCAAUCAUUAAAAAAAGACAAUACAAGUAAAAGUUCUGUCUUGUAAAAUUGUAAUGCCGGGUGCCAGGUCUCUCUCCAUUCAGAGACAUCAGUUUCAAGCCCGUCUGUCAAAAUAGGCAGAGUUGAAGCAGAGUUCCUCAGUGACACAUGGAAUGAAAAGGGUGUUGUUAUUACUGAACAUUUGUGCUGUACUGUUUAUUAAUAAUGACCUCAUUGUGGAUGUGUUGAGUUGAUGUGUUGAGUGCCAGAUCUCUGCAUAUCAUGCAUCGGUAAAAACAUAUACACAGACACUGUUCUACCAAUGGCAAUUAGGGAUAGGUGAUGUCUGACAGGUGAUAUAUACACUAUGUUGAAGUUUGAAUAAGUCCGACUAAACCUACCUAAUUCUGUUCCAUCGAUGACCAUUGGUGAGCAG